GACGAACGCUGGCGGCGUGCUUAACACAUGCAAGUCGAACGGAAAGGCCCUGCUUUUGUGGGGUGCUCGAGUGGCGAACGGGUGAGUAACACGUGAGUAACCUGCCCUUGACUUUGGGAUAACUUCAGGAAACUGGGGCUAAUACCGGAUAGGAGCUCCUGCUGCAUGGUGGGGGUUGGAAAGUUUCGGCGGUUGGUGAUGGACUCGCGGCUUAUCAGCUUGUUGGUGGGGUAGUGGCUUACCAAGGCUUUGACGGGUAGCCGGCCUGAGAGGGUGACCGGCCACAUUGGGACUGAGAUACGGCCCAGACUGCUACGGGAGGCAGCAGUGGGGAAUAUUGCACAAUGGGCGGAAGCCUGAUGCAGCAACGCCGCGUGCGGGAUGACGGCCUUCGGGUUGUAAACCGCUUUCGCCUGUGACGAAGCGUGAGUGACGGUAAUGGGUAAAGAAGCACCGGCUAACUACGUG
rnacentral:rRNA from 1 species